rnacentral:rRNA from 1 species
AAUUCGAUUGAGUUUGAUCAUGGCUCAGGACGAACGCUGGCGGCGUGCUUAACACAUGCAAGUCAAGGGGGCCCAGCAAUGGGCAACCGGCGAACGGGUGCGUAACACGUGAGCAACCUACCGAACUGUGGGGGAUAGCCGGCCUAACGGCCGAGUAAUACCGCAUACGCUUUCAGUGAGGCAUUUCAUUGAAAGGAAACCUACGGGACAGAUCGAGGGGCUCGCGGCCUAUCAGCUAGUUGACGAGGUAACGGCUCACCAAGGCAACGACGGGUAGCUGGUCUGAGAGGAUGGCCAGCCACAUUGGGACUGAGAUACGGCCCAGACUCCUACGGGAGGCAGCAGUGGGGAAUCUUGCGCAAUGGCCUAACGGCUGACGCAGCGACGCCGCGUGUGGGAUGAAGCUCUUCGGAGUGUAAACCACUGUUGCCCGGGACGAACAGCUCGAUUAGUCGAGCCUGACGGUACCGGGUGAGGAAGCACCGGCUAACUCCGUGCCAGCAGCCGCGGUAAUACGGGGGGUGCGAGCGUUGUCCGGAAUCACUGGGCGUAAAGGGCGCGUAGGUGGUUUGAUAAGGGUGUGGUGAAAGUCCGGGGCUCAACCCCGGAUCUGCCGUGCCGACUGUCAAACUCGAGGACUGUAGAGGCAGACGGAAUUCCGGGUGUAGCGGUGGAAUGCGUAGAGAUCCGGAGGAAGACCGGUGGCGAAGGCGGUCUGCUGGGCAGUUUCUGACACUGAGGCGCGACAGCGUGGGGAGCAAACAGGAUUAGAUA